rnacentral:lncRNA from 1 species
GUUGGUUUUCUCUCAAAUAAAAAGUUAAAUCCCCAACCAGUCAUUAUUCACGUGCUAUAUGUAGACUAUCAUGGCUCUGGUACAGCCAGUCAACAACAACCUCUUCAGAUGGGUUGGAGUUGUCUAAAGCUGAUGGUUUGGAGUUGUCUAAAGCUGAAGGUUUGGAGUUGUCUAAAGCUGAUGGUUUGGAGUUGUCUAAAGCUGAUGGUUUGGAGUUGUCUAAAGCUGAUGGUUUGGAGUUGUCUAAAGCUGAUGGUUUGGAGUUGUCUAAAGCUGAUGGUUUGGAGUUGUCUAAAGCUGAUGGUUUGGAGUUGUCUAAAGCUGAUGAUUUGGCUGAUGGUCGGUUACAAUAAUCACAGUAAGAUUAGACCUAGCUACUCCUUAGUGACAACACUGUAUGGGCCAAACACACACACACACACACACACACACACACACACACAC